AUUGAACGCUGGCGGCAGGCCUAACACAUGCAAGUCGAACGGUAACAGAAAGCAGCUUGCUGCUUUGCUGACGAGUGGCGGACGGGUGAGUAAUGUCUGGGAAACUGCCUGAUGGAGGGGGAUAACUACUGGAAACGGUAGCUAAUACCGCAUAACGUCGCAAGACCAAAGAGGGGGACCUUCGGGCCUCUUGCCAUCGGAUGUGCCCAGGUGGGAUUAGCUAGUAGGUGGGGUAACGGCUCACCUAGGCGACGAUCCCUAGCUGGUCUGAGAGGAUGACCAGCCACACUGGAACUGAGACACGGUCCAGACGCCUACGGGAGGCAGCAGUGGGGAAUAUUGCACAAUGGGCGGAAGCCUGAUGCAGCCAUGCCGCGUGUAUGAAGAAGGCCUUCGGGUUGUAAAGUACUUUCAGCGGGGAGGAAGGGAGUAAAGUUAAUACCUUUGCUCAUUGACGUUACCCGCAGAAGAAGCACCGGCUAACUCCGUG
rnacentral:rRNA from 1 species